rnacentral:rRNA from 1 species
GAUGAACGCUGGCGGCGUGCCUAAUACAUGCAAGUCGAGCGAACAGACGAGGAGCUUGCUCCUCUGACGUUAGCGGCGGACGGGUGAGUAACACGUGGAUAACCUACCUAUAAGACUGGGAUAACUUCGGGAAACCGGAGCUAAUACCGGAUAAUAUAUUGAACCGCAUGGUUCAAUAGUGAAAGACGGUUUUGCUGUCACUUAUAGAUGGAUCCGCGCCGCAUUAGCUAGUUGGUAAGGUAACGGCUUACCAAGGCAACGAUGCGUAGCCGACCUGAGAGGGUGAUCGGCCACACUGGAACUGAGACACGGUCCAGACUCCUACGGGAGGCAGCAGUAGGGAAUCUUCCGCAAUGGGCGAAAGCCUGACGGAGCAACGCCGCGUGAGUGAUGAAGGUCUUCGGAUCGUAAAACUCUGUUAAUAGGGAAGAACAAAUGUGUAAGUAACUAUGCACGUCUUGACGGUACCCAAUCAGAAAGCCACGGCUAACUACGUG